CACUUAUAUCGUAAAUUUAACUGUUAAUCUAAAGGGGUACAGCCCUUUAGAAUAAGGAUACAACCUUAAUUAGAGAGUAAAUAUACUAAUAACCAUAGUUGGCCUAAAAGCAGCCAUCAAUUAAGAAAGCGUUCAAGCUCAACAAUAACUUACCUCUUAAUUCAACAAUCACCUAUUAACUCCUAAUUUACCACUGGACCAAUCUAUUAGCCAAUAGAAGAAAUACUGUUAAUAUGAGUAACAAGAUUUAUAUCUCCCAGCACAAGCUUAUAUCAGACCGAAUAAUAGCUGAUAGUUAACAGCCAAAUAAAUAUAAAUUUAUAUAAACCAUUUAUUUACCCACUGUUAAUCCAACACCGGUGUGCACUAAGGAAAGAUUAAAAGAAAUAAAAGGAACUCGGCAAACACAAACCCCGCCUGUUUACCAAAAACAUCACCUCUAGCAUCACUAGUAUUAGAGGCACUGCCUGCCCAGUGACAACUGUUAAACGGCCGCGGUAUCCUGACCGUGCAAAGGUAGCAUAAUCAUUUGUUCCUUAAAUAGGGACUUGUAUGAAUGGCCACACGAGGGUUUAACUGUCUCUUAUUUCUAAUCAGUGAAAUUGACCUUUCCGUGAAGAGGCGGAAAUAAUCCAAUAAGACGAGAAGACCCUAUGGAGCUUUAAUCAACCUAACCCAACAGAAUAGUAUUCGACUCCACCAAGGACCAACAAGCAUUCUAACUGGGUUAUAAAUUUCGGUUGGGGUGACCUCGGAGCACAAAAUAACCUCCGAGAAUUAUCCACUAAGACUAACAAGUCAAAGUGAAACUUUACAAAUUGAUCCAGUCUCACUGAUCAACGGAACAAGUUACCCUAGGGAUAACAGCGCAAUCCUAUUCUAGAGUCCCUAUCGACAAUAGGGUUUACGACCUCGAUGUUGGAUCAGGACAUCCCAAUGGUGCAGCAGCUAUUAAUGGUUCGUUU
rnacentral:rRNA from 1 species